rnacentral:rRNA from 1 species
AGAGUUUGAUCCUGGCUCAGGAUGAACGCUGGCGGCGUGCCUAAUACAUGCAAGUCGAACGAGCGAGAUCCAGCUUGCUGGAUUUAGCGAGUGGCGAACGGGUGAGUAAUACGUAAGCAACCUGCCUACACGGACUGGGAUAACACCUGGAAACGGGCGCUAAUACCGGAUAGGUAAUGAGGAGGCAUCUCCUUAUUAUUAAAGGUUUGAAACACAAGUAGAUGGGCUUACGGUGCAUUAGCUAGUUGGUGAGGUAACGGCCCACCAAGGCGAUGAUGCAUAGCCGGCCUGAGAGGGUGAACGGCCACAUUGGGACUGAGACACGGCCCAGACUCCUACGGGAGGCAGCAGUAGGGAAUUUUCGGCAAUGGGCGCAAGCCUGACCGAGCAACGCCGCGUGAGUGAUGAAGGUUUUCGGAUCGUAAAGCUCUGUUGUAAGGGAAGAAUGGCGCGGAUAGACUCCGCGAUUGACGGUACCUUACCAGAAAGCCACGGCUAACUACGUGCCAGCAGCCGCGGUAAUACGUAGGUGGCGAGCGUUAUCCGGAAUUAUUGGGCGUAAAGGGUGCGUAGGCGGCCUGUUAAGUUUAAGGUGAAAGCGUGGGGCUUAACCCCAUACAGCCUUAGAUACUGGCAGGCUAGAGUACUGGAGAGGAAAGUGGAAUUCCAUGUGUAGCGGUAAAAUGCGUAGAGAUAUGGAGGAACACCGGUGGCGAAGGCGGCUUUCUAGACAGUAACUGACGCUGAGGCACGAAAGCGUGGGGAGCAAAUAGGAUUAGAUACCCUAGUAGUCCACGCUGUAAACGAUGAAUGCUAAGUGUUGGGGUAACCCAGUGCUGCAGUUAACGCAAUAAGCAUUCCGCCUGUGGAGUAUGCACGCAAGUGUGAAACAUAAAGGAAUUGACGGGGGCCCGCACAAGCGGUGGAGUAUGUGGUUUAAUUCGACGCAACGCGAAGAACCUUACCAGGCCUUGACAUCCCCUGCAAAACUGUAGAGAUACAGCAGAGGUUAUCAGGGUGACAGGUGGUGCAUGGUUGUCGUCAGCUCGUGUCGUGAGAUGUUGGGUUAAGUCCCGCAACGAGCGCAACCCU